CCUACGGGAGGCAGCAGUGAGGAAUAUUGGUCAAUGGGCGAGAGCCUGAACCAGCCAAGUCGCGUGAAGGAUGACGGCCCUACGGGUUGUAAACUUCUUUUGUCAGGGAGCAAUUGGGUUCACGCGUGGGCUUAGCGAGAGUACCUGCAGAAAAGGCAUCGGCUAACCCCGAGCCAGAAGCCGCGUUACUACGGCGGAUGCGAGCGUUAUCCGGAUUCAUUGGGGUAAGAGGUUGCGUAGGCGGAAGAUCAAGUCAGCGGGAAAAAUGCGGGGCUCAACGCCGUCGUGCCGUUGAAACUGAUGUUCUUGAGUGGGCGAGAGGUGUGCGGAAUGCGUGGUGUAGCGGUGAAAUGCAUAGAUAUCACGCAGAACACCGAUUGCGAAGGCAGCAUACCGGCGCCCAACUGACGCUGAAGCACGAAAGCGUGGGUAUCGAACAGGAUUAGAUACCCGAGUAGUC
rnacentral:rRNA from 1 species